rnacentral:rRNA from 1 species
CAGUAGCCGCGGUAAUACAGAGGGUGCAAGCGUUAAUCGGAAUUACUGGGCGUAAAGCGCGCGUAGGUGGUUUGUUAAGUUGGAUGUGAAAUCCCCGGGAUCAACCUGGGAACUGCAUCCAAAACUGGCAAGCUAGAGUAUGGUAGAGGGUGGUGGAAUUUCCUGUGUAGCGGUGAAAUGCGUAGAUAUAGGAAGGAACACCAGUGGCGAAGGCGACCACCUGGACUGAUACUGACACUGAGGUGCGAAAGCGUGGGGAGCAAACAGGAUUAGAGACCCCCGUAGUCCCUGUCUCUUAUAA